rnacentral:rRNA from 1 species
AUUGAACGCUGGCGGCAGGCCUAACACAUGCAAGUCGAGCGGAUGACGGGAGCUUGCUCCUUGAUUCAGCGGCGGACGGGUGAGUAAUGCCUAGGAAUCUGCCUGGUAGUGGGGGACAACGUUUCGAAAGGAACGCUAAUACCGCAUACGUCCUACGGGAGAAAGCAGGGGACCUUCGGGCCUUGCGCUAUCAGAUGAGCCUAGGUCGGAUUAGCUAGUUGGUGGGGUAAUGGCUCACCAAGGCGACGAUCCGUAACUGGUCUGAGAGGUUGAUCAGUCACACUGGAACUGAGACACGGUCCAGACUCCUACGGGAGGCAGCAGUGGGGAAUAUUGGACAAUGGGCGAAAGCCUGAUCCAGCCAUGCCGCGUGUGUGAAGAAGGUCUUCGGAUUGUAAAGCACUUUAAGUUGGGAGGAAGGGCAGUAAGCUAAUACCUUGCUGUUUUGACGUUACCGACAGAAUAAGCACCGGCUAACUCUGUGCCAGCAGCCGCAGUAAAAC